CAUCGUGAUGAUAAAGCACUUUUCUUCAUUUCUGGUACCUCUUAUGCUAGAGCCUCUGGCUCGAUGAAUAAACUGGACUUCUGAUA
rnacentral:snoRNA from 1 species